UACGGAGGAUCCAAGCGUUAUCCGGAUUUAUUGGGUUUAAAGGGUGCGUAGGCGGCCUAUUAAGUCAGGGGUGAAAGACGGUAGCUUAACUAUCGCAGUGCCUUUGAUACUGAUGGGCUUGAAUGAACUAGAGGUAGGCGGAAUGUGACAAGUAGCGGUGAAAUGCAUAGAUAUGUCACAGAACACCAAUUGCGAAGGCAGCUUACUAUGGUUUUAUUGACGCUGAGGCACGAAAGCGCGGGGAUCAAACAGG
rnacentral:rRNA from 1 species